rnacentral:lncRNA from 1 species
AAGGCUAUUAAUAGGUCUUUGCUUUUCUUUUGGCCUUUCAUGGUCUCCUCAGUACUUGUUUCCAAACCCUUAAAAGUGCAGGGCAUGUAAACUGAAAUUUUGCAGAGAAUUUUUGGUGACUUCUAUUUUUGAGGGCAUGGGAUAUUAUUUUAAAACAUAAUAUAAUUGGUGGUGCUCUCCUUGUUGCAGUUACUGAAAACAAAUCAUCCUGGUCCCUUCACCAGUUCAACCAUCAGUCUUGGCGAAAAUUGACCACCUAAUGCAAUCAUUGGGCAGGAGGCCACUAUGGGUAGUUUAAGAUCUGGAGAUUCACAUGAUGAGAAGGUGAAAGAGGCUGAGACAAAAUUGGAGUUGAUGACCAUAUAGUGCUGCAGAAGGAGGUGGAUCUGUGCAACACUGGAAAAGGCCACACGGGGGACAAUGCCACAAGAAGCCCGUGCUCAAAUCACAGAAUCACAGAAUCAGAAUCGCAGAAUCACAGAAAUCACAAAAUCAGGGUAGGAAACGUCCUCCUCCUUCUCCUCCAACCACCACCACCACCUCCUCUACCACUGCCUUCUACACCACCAAAAACUAGAACGAUGACCUUGAAGGACUACUCAAAAAUAAUGAUUCUAUGUAUCCUCCUCAACCACACACAAUCAUGGAAUAUCGCCAGUUGGAAGGGACACAUAAGGAUCAUUAAGUCCAACUCAUGGUACCACAGGUC